rnacentral:rRNA from 1 species
CCUACGGGUGGCUGCAGUGGGGAAUAUUGCACAAUGGGGGAAACCCUGAUGCAGCGACGCCGCGUGAGUGAAGAAGUAUUUCGGUAUGUAAAGCUCUAUCAGCAGGGAAGAAAAUGACGGUACCUGAUUAAGAAGCCCCGUCUAACUACGUGCCAGCAGCCGCGGUAAUACGGAGGGGGCCAGCGUUAUCCGGAUUUACUGGGCGUUAACGGAGCGUAGACGGCAGCACCAGUCUGGAGUGAAAUGCCCGGGCUUAACCCCGGAACUGCUUUGGAAACUGGGCAGCUAGAGUGCAGGAGAGGUAAGUGGAAUGCGUGGUGUAGCGGUGAAAUGCGUAGAUAUUAGGAGGAACACCAGUGGCGAAGGCGGCUUACUGGACUGUAACUGACGUUGAGGCUCGAAAGCGUGGGUAGCAAACAGGAUUAGAUACCCGUGUAGUC